UCCAAACUUGUGUGCUCCGCUCCUGCCCCUCCGUCAUGCUGUUUGUUGGUCUGGCGCUGCCGGCGAGCUGAAGGGCGGGAAACCCCGAGGCCGCCGGGAGACACUGCGGGCACCGCGGCGCGUCUCUGAGAGCUUUGCAUCCACCUGAGGGCACCAUCGCCUCGCUGAGGGCUCUGACACGCAGCUAACAGCGCGGAUGGGCGAUUCCCUGCGUUUGUGGGGAAAUCUUUCAGAAACAAGCAACUGCUUUGUUAAAACAAGCGAAAAACAAUAACAGCAACAACAAAAACUCCUCCAUUUUGUGAGAUCACCUAUUUCAGAUCGGAGGCGGUUACCGUUUGAGGUUGUUGCUUAGGGGGCAAGCAGGAGAGGCGUGUGCUUCUCUGAUGAUUUAUCUUAUGCUUUAUGAAGCUGCGAAGACACUGUGGAGUCUGGUGGAUGUAAAUGAGCCCAGGACUCAGUAGGAGCACGGAUCUGUGAGGAGGUGGCCUCCUGCAGGAUGUGUCCUGGCAUAGCAUGUCUUGUCCCAGCAGCCUCUCCAAGGACAGAGCUGGGAAAUGAUUUGAGGUAACCCUCAAAAUAUUUUCACCCCCACUUAUGUGGUUGCCAUCAGCUCCAGUCUCAAAUGAGAUCUAGCUAUGUCAGUUGCCCAUGCUUAUGAUUUUGCAUAGAACACGAUUAGCAAGUUAUGUGUAUGUACAGAGUACAAGGUUUAACAUGAAGUAUUUGUAUCCCAGAAUCUGAGCUUUCCUCAGCUCAGCUCUACUUCACAACAAGCUGAGAGUUUCUUUGAGGUCUUGGCCAAUUAUGGGAAGGGCUUUGGCUUUCCUGAGUGAGGACAAACCCUCACGCUGUCCAUAGCAGAUUCCCAUCUUCACAACAGAAGGUUUCAAGCUCUGCCUUUAUGAAAGGAUAUGCUAGAGUGUUUUCUGCUUUAUCUAAUGAGCAAGUAGUAUGUGAGGCAGGAGGAAGUAGGAAGAGGAGAGAUUUGGAUCAGAAUGACCAUCACUGUAGGUACGAACACCUCACCACACACAAGCUUGGAUGUAUCUUCCUGUGACACUGCCAUAGAGCUUUUAGCAUCUUGCCAUAGCAAUCAGAGGGCGAAAGGGUUCUUUGACAGUAAUCUAAGCACUCUGCAGACAUGUGCCUUUCUUUUCCGUUGUCUCUUUGUGUUCUGUCUUUGUGUCACAGUUGAUUGAUUUAGACUCUGUAAUCGCUUUGGCACACUUUAUAUGAAACUUGCCUUACUGAACACGAUUUCAAGUAAAUGGUUGAACGCUGAGACAUUGUUCCUCUGAGAGAGGUAGCUCUAGACAUCAGACGCUUUCUCAGUGACAUUUCUCCUAUAACACAUUUCGCAUGGUAGUGGAAGGACAAAGAGUUAUACAACCAAUUAGUUUCAAAGGUGGGUUUGAGAUCUGCGGCCAUCUGCCUAGGAGAGAUACUCCUCAUGAUCCACUGUGUGCUAGGAGCAGUCACUGACGUAUGUCACAGUAACAUCAGGCAGUCCCAGAUUCUGUUGGUCCCUAAGGAGGACUGUAUGUUGAGACUAGAGCACAUGCUUGAUUUCUUGUCCACUGGUUUCUAAUGGCUUUGACAUUGGUACACUGUGUACGUUUUCAUUUCUAAUUACCUAAUUCUACUUUUUAACUCUAGUAACCUGAAGAUUUCCUGAAACACUUUAACAGAGUUUCCACUGACUUUAAAGUAAGUUUAAUUUUAAAAAGUGGUUAAGUGCAGAUUUUUAUGAGGCAAAAGGAUCCAGAAUUCUCUUUAAAAAAAUAUGGCUGUUGCAAAAACUCUCAGAGCAAUUUUUCAGAGUGACAGGAAUAACAUAUGUGGCAGGAUGAGCAGCAGUCAAUCUCACAGCGCUAAAAUCUCUUGAUUGAGAUUGAGAUGCUAAAAUAUCUUGAUUGAGCAAAGCAUUCAUUUGUGGAUGUAGAAAUAGGGCCAGGAGAAGAUCUGAUUGUCUUCUAAACCACCAGUAAAUGGCAUGGAAGUGCCUAUACCUUGCAGCCACCUCUGUCUCUGUGAGAAACUCAUAGAUGAAAAAUACAAAGGAUUUAUUUUGUUGGACCACAGACUGCUUGUUAAGACCUUGCUUAUUUUAUCAUCCGUAAAACAUGAAAACACAAACACGAAGAUUUACACCAUAUAUCUAACCUGCCAUCAGCUAGCUAAUCUGUGGUGUAUAAAUAGAGAUGCUAAUCACUAGAUUUGACACUUAUCUUCAAUAAUAUAAGAUAAAUUUCAGUUUAAUAUGAUAGCAGGCUCCAUACUGUGUUUGAACACUUCUCUCAACCGCUAUUUUCAGCUCUUGAGCCAGCUUUUCAGCAGGAGAGGGCUGCUGGGAAAAGUCACCUUUUCAGUGCCACUCUGAAGACAGCACUGCUAGCCAGGAGUGCUUUCUAGCUUUGCUUUUUAAAAAUUGUACCCAUUCUCUACUUUACUUUCCAGCAUUUUGCAUUUGAUGAGCAAAUAAGUUGCCUAUCUUCUCAUAUUUAAGAAAAUAGAUAGUUCUUGUCCUGGUGCUGAUAAGGGGGACUGCACAAACCGUUUUUCUGGUGGAAGAGCUGCAGCAAAGUGUCUGACACUACCUGGUAUGAAGCCAUUUCUGCUGUGUCAGACAGCAUACAGCCUCCAGAUUCAUGCUUCUUUCCAUGAACUGCUUCAAAGAAAACGUUACAUUUAAUCCUGGAGAAAUGGCCUGUGGGAAUACAAGAAAAACUGUUCAGAGCAGCAGCUGCGUAGCAAGAUAAACAGCAUGAGAAGCAAGGACACCUCUAGAAGAAGAAAGAACGGCUCACAGCUCUGACUGGAUAACCACCCGCAUGAACGGUUGAAGAAUGCUCUGUUGACAUGUAAAGGUGGAUGGGCAAGUUGUAGGGGUGGAUGGGAAAGCUACAAAAAGAAAACUUGUGGAGGUAUAUAAGUGAUGUGAGAACUUGUAAUAAACGGUUUGGAUUGUUCACAUCUGAGUCCGUGCAUCAGAUGCUGCAAUGGCCCAGAAGCAGCAAGUGUGCACUGUGUAUGGAGGGCCAGAACCAUGCAGGAUACGGUGCUCAGGGACAUGAUUUAGUGGUGGGCUGUUAGGGUAGUAUGGUUAGGUUGAGGUUGGACUUGGUGAUCUUGAAGGUCUUUUCCAACCUGAGCAAUUCUAUGAUUGAUGCAGUUUUACAGAAGAAGGCUCAGGCACUAUAUUACCUAGGAGCGGGAUAAAACUGUUCCACAUCUCACCGGGCUGCUCAUCAUGGGAAGAUCUUAUUAGUCUAGCUGGGAUUGUUUAAGAAUAAUCUUCCUGUGCCACCUCAUCUUCUGGGAGAGAAGCAUCACUGAGCUGUACUUACAUAGUAGUCUCAGGUUUGGAUAUAGCCCUAGAUGGCACAGAUAUGCAUUCUGAACUGAAACAUUCCUGUUCACUAAGUUCCUAAGCUGCAAAAGAACAAGGAUGAGGGAAAUACUCCUGAUAAGUGUGGUAAUUGUCUUUCUUCCUGAAGAACUCAAGUUUGGCAGCUACCAAGGUAAAAAAUCUGGGCAAGAUGGCCCUUAAGCUUCUGUAUUAUCUGACAAAGUCUCUUCAGCCUUCCAGAUAUCCUACUAGGCAAAUUAAGGCUAUGGGUUGAGGGCCAAAAAAUACUACAAAAAUACUAGUUUACUGAAAAAAAUCCUCCUCAAACAAGAUUUGGCAGCUAGCAGUGAGUUGGGCAGCUUGCCACUGGGAACACCUUUAGUGGAAGCUGAGAAGAUGAAGAAUUCAUUGUGGAAAUUCUGGGACCCGGACAUAAGUGCAAAAGAAAAUGCCUGUCUCAAAGAAGUAAUUCUUUGUCAUUCUGAUAAGUUAUCCUGGAAAUCACACAAAUGAUAAAGAAUCUAGGAGGAUGAAUGGUAUUUUCCUCUAUGUAUAUGCAAGCAUUUAAUUUUAUUAUUUUCUAUGAAUAUUGCUAAAUAGUCUCAAAAUCUAUAUCCCACAAUGUAAUGAUUUUCUUCCCAAAGCAAAAUCAGUUCCUUAGAUGCGUCAGUAGGUCACCCACUGUAAGCUAAUAUAGAUUUUAUUAGGCAAAUCUUAAGUCAUAAGGAAUUAACCAUGUUGCUGAUUUUCAGUUAAAAAGUAACACAGCAGCCUCAUCCUCAGUAGAGGGCAGGAGGGACAGUGUGCAGUUAUGUGAUAGGAAUGUCUCAGAUGUGUGAACACGGCUCCCUCUGGAGCAAGAACACUGGAGAAGGUGAGCCAGUCUACAUCAUCUGGAUGUCAUCAAUAAGGCAAUAAUAUACUAUGCCAAGUGUGCAUAGCUUUCUAUUAUUUCUUUCUUUAUACUUUUGGUAUUUUUACACGUAAGACCUAGGACAGUAGUUGCAGAACAGACUCAGACAAGCAGUUGCAUCCUUUUGCACCUGGUGCCAAUUUGAGCCUCUUGUUGGGGAGAAGGUGGCCCAGAUCAGCACUACAGUGGCAGUGAGUCAUUAGGAGCUGACUUAUGAGUCCACUAAAGUAAAUGGAAAGACUUAUUGACUUCCGCUCACUCUGGCUCAGGUCCUGACUCCUUCCACAGCCAUCCCUGCUGCUGGCUGUGCUGUCAGCAGUAUGCUAUACUUGGGACUGCACCAAAAGGAUGCUUGAAGGCUUCAGUUGUUCCAUGAUAUUUCUUGCAGUGAGUGGUUUAUAGGCUGCUCAAAGGCUGUAGUGUCUUUGUAUUUAUUUCCAACAGAAUUCAAACUCUGAUUCUUAAUGUUUAAUGUCAUCCAGAUGGUCUGUAUUGUACUGAGUGUCUGUACUGCAGCAUCAAACCAGUGGAAUUCUUUUCAGUGCAAGUUAUUUUCUCAAUAUUUCACAAUAGAAUUAGGCUGAAAGCAAUCAUCAGCUUUAUCCAGUGUGAUAAGAAGAGGAUAAAUCCAUCAUCUGAAAUUGCUUACACAGUUUAACAAACAGGCAUUUUUAUUAUCUCUGUGGAUAAAAUAUGAUUUUCACUUAACGAGGAAGAAAGAAGCAGCAAAAGCAGUGCUACUUUCUGGAUCCGUGCCUUCUGCUGCUGGCUGAUUCCCCAGAGGCCCAGAGACAGCUAAGAGCCUCACGAGGCCUUGCUCUCGUCUGGAUGACUCUGGGCUACAGCAGCUACCUGGGGCUUACGUAUGGCUCAGGCUACCCUAUCUUUACCUGCUUUGCAGCAAAUGAAUUUGCACAGCUGUUGUUUCAUGGUCAUUUUUACCAGUUCAGAAAUAUUUUCCACUAGACUCAGGAAAUGUCUUCUAUAUACAUGCAGCACAUUUUCAGCUGACCUCUUAGGUUUAGGUUGAUGUUUGGCCAAAUCUUAGUAUUUGCAGGCCUCAGCUCCAAGAUAAUUUCAGGGAGCUGCUAGAAACAACAGUGCUAAACCUCUUCUGGAUCACGGAGUACCUCAUAUACUCCUGCUCUGCAUGGUUUAUUUCUUGUUAGGACCACUAAAAUUGGCAAAGGGAUAGGAUCAGACACAGGGCAGUCCAGAUAUGGUUUAUGAGAUCAGUGAUGUUCCCAGAAAUGCAGGUAUAGCUGCACAGCUAGGAGAAUGUUCAGGCAAGAAACAUGAAAAAAUAGGCAUAGCAGAGCUUUCUCUGUGCCCUAAGCAAAUCCCUUUGGAGAGAGGUUGAUAGCAGUCAGUACAGGGAUUAGGUCCCCAUUUCCUCCAGAUGACUACAGCAGAAAUGCCAGGUUGUAAAGGCAAUUCCAGACUGCCUCCUAUUUCAAUGACAGGCAUUUUUAACAGUGACUCAGAUCCUUAGAGAGAGCAUCAAGGAGUCAAGACUCGGGAAACACCUGCAUUUGAGACUGCAACGAAGCUGCUGCAAAGCUUCUGCGUGGCCGACUGGGUUACUGAUUAAUGAUGCCUGGUCUGGGCCAGCAAGAAUAUGUGAAUGGGAAUAUGUGCCCAACCCCUGGGAGAAAACAGGUCCUGACUUCAAUAAAUUCCAGAAGAUGUUGUCAUACCUCAGCUAGAUAGCAUUAGAGAGGUCAACAUAUGCAUAGGUGAAGGACCUGGCUGCAAGAUCAGCUCUAGGAUUCGUGUAGUGGGUAGGAGGUAGCAGUAGUAAGAUUGUCCCCCCAGGGAGCAACGUUAUGGCUUGGGAAUCAACUAUUCUUACUGUUUUUGAUGGAAAUCUAUGGUCUUUGGUCUGCCAGCCUGCACGCUUCUUCACACCACUACCUCCAUCUUGCUGACAUAAUCUGCCCAAUUUAGAUCAGUGCUGGAGUAUUUCUACCUAUCCAGACCACAGCCUCAGCAUCACUUGGUGGAUAAACAAUGCUGUCAAUGUUCUCGUUCUCUUCUGUAUCAAAAUUAUCUCCUAUUGCCAUUUCAAAGCAGAAUUUAACAUAAGGGAAUUCUAGAUUCUAAUGUGCUGCUUACAGUACUGCCCAAUGCUUAUUCAAAUUGUUGAACUAUGUGUAUCUUCUUUUUUCAAAAACUACGUGUAGAUAAUUUUUGUUGUUUUCUAAACAGAGCAGUACCAUUAACUAGAUAGCCAGACACCCGUAAUUGUGCAGAAUACAGAACUAAAGUGUUUGCUCAAGAUUGUUUUACUUUGUUUUGGCAGGAUACUAUGCCCUAAAAUGCCCCCACUAUGUACACACACUGCAGCAGGAAACUCAGCAAGCUUUGAUUAAGUAUAUCUCAAUGACAUUGAAAGGAUGUCUAGGCAAGUUUGCUUGGAUUCUUCACCUAAUCACCUCUCCUCAAGACAUUGAUGUAGAUGGUAUUGAAAAGCAUUUCUUCAGGUUCACCUUAAGGGAGGCUACACUAAAUGAAAUAAUUGUAGAAAUCCUAUAUAUCAAACCAAAUUGACUUUGAAAACAAAUGAACUCUGCUCUGAAGUACCUAAUUUUGAAGAGAAGAGAGGAUUUUAUGACUGUUAAACAUGUUUCAGACAAAUUAUUAAUGCAUUUUUGUAAGCUAUAUUUAUUUUUUGUCUGAUGAAAUCAUCUUCUAAACUUCAGAACUAGAAGCAGAGAGCUAGAAGUAUUUCCAAGACUCCACGUGCUUUCAAAAAUCUUUAACACAACCAAAGACUGUUCUUCUAGAAAACAUUGAUGUUGUGUUAGGUCCAACUGUAUUAUUUCUAGUAAGUAUUUUUAUAACAGUUUAAACACCUUUCUAUAUGGUUUUGGCUUCCCAGAAAUUUUUGCUUGCAGGCAGUGGUAAAUUGUAUUCAGUGCACCACCAAUUGAAGAUGGAGAGAUACAUAAAUUGUACAUAAAAAACUGCCCAGAGGUAUAAUCAGAAUAAAUCCUUAUGAUCGGAA